rnacentral:rRNA from 1 species
GUGCCAGCCGCCGCGGUAAUACGUAGGGGGCAAGCGUUAUCCGGAAUUACUGGGCGUAAAGGGUGCGUAGGCGGUCUGGUAAGUCAGAGGUGAAAGACUAUUGCUCAACGAUAGCAAGCCUUUGAAACUACCGGACUUGAGUGCAGGAGAGGAGAGUGGAAUUUCUAGUGUAGCGGUGAAAUGCGUAGAUAUUAGAAGGAACACCAGUGGCGAAGGCGACUCUCUGGACUGCAACUGACGCUGAGGCACGAAAGCGUGGGGAGCGAACAGGAUUAGAUACCCUGGUAGUCCACGCCGUAAACGAUGAGUGCUAGGUGUCGGGGGUCAAACCUCGGUGCCGGAGCUAACGCAAUAAGCACUCCGCCUGGGGAGUACGCUCGCAAGAGUAAAACUCAAAGGAAUUGACGGGGACCCGCACAAGUAGCGGAGCAUGUGGUUUAAUUCGACGCAACGCGAAGAACCUUACCUAAACUUGACAUCCUUCUGAAAGGACCUUAAUCGGUUCCCUCCUUCGGGACAGAAGUGACAGGUGGUGCAUGGUUGUCGUCAGCUCGUGUCGUGAGAUGUUGGGUUAAGUCCCGUAACGAGCGCAACCCUUGUCUUUAGUUGCCAGCAAGUAAUGUUGGGCACUCUAGAGAGACUGCCGUGGAUAACACGGAGGAAGGUGGGGAUGACGUCAAAUCAUCAUGCCCCUUAUGUU